rnacentral:SRP_RNA from 2 species
GCCAGGCAUGGUGGCGCAUGCCUGUAGUCCCAGCUACUCAGGAGGCUGAGGCAGGAGAAUCGCUUGAACCCAGGAGGCAGAGGUUGCAGUGAGCUGAGAUCGCACCACUGCACUCCAGCCUGGGCAACAAAGAGAGACUCUGUCUCAA